GUACUUUGUAGUCUAUGACAGUGCUUGAAUUGAUCACUGUCGAAACGAGAAUCUCAGAGGCCCCGCCUUUAUCUGUAAAUAUAAUUUACACGGCUUUUCGCGACGAUGUUUUUAUAAAUAAAGAUCUUAGAUCAACGGGCAGCAGAGCGUUGCAAAAAUGGAUACUAAAGUGAUAUGUUUCUUCGCUAUACUUUCACAAGCGGCGGCCCUGUUGACGUCACCGCCGCGGAUAGUGAAGCAGCCGACGGUGGAAGAGCUGCUGUUCCAAGUGGCGCAGCCCGGCGAGGUGGACAAGCCUUUCAUCAUCGAGUGCGAGGCGGAGGGCGAGCCGGCGCCUAAGUACCGAUGGAUUAAGAAUGGAAAGCCGUUCGAAUACACGAGUUACGACAAUCGAAUCUCACAGCAACCUGGACGCGGUACCUUGGUUGUCAGCAAGCCCAGAGAUGAAGAUCUCGGGCAGUACCAAUGUUUUGCGUACAAUGAAUGGGGUACGGCGACAUCCAAUUCCGUCUUCGUACGGAAAGCUGAGCUCAAUUCGUUCAAAGACACCGACGGCCCGCAAACAAUGAUCACAGCUCAAGAGGGUUUACCGUUCAAACUCACGUGUAACCCGCCAGAUGGUCAUCCGAGCCCGAACGUGUAUUGGAUGUUGCAAGGGGAACAAGGCCAGCUGAAGACGAUCAACAACUCGCGAAUGACCCUAGAUCCCGAAGGAAACUUGUGGUUCUCGAACGUGACGCGGAACGACGCGAGCGUGGACUACGCGUACACUUGUGCGGCAAAAUCGGUGUUCAGGAACGAAUACAAGCUCGGUAACAAGGUGUACCUUCAAGUGCAGCAAACAGGAAUAUCACCAACCCUCAACAAACAUGAACCAGUCCGCCAAUACACGACCAGGAGAGUGGAAAAAGCGUGGCGAGGCAAGAAAGUCGAACUGUACUGCAUCUAUGGCGGAACGCCGUUGCCCCAAGUGGUUUGGAAGAAGGACGGUCGGACGAUACUAUCCUCGCAGCGGAUAACGCAGGACAACUACGGCAAGACGCUGGUGAUCAAGAGAUCGGGGUAUGAGGACCAAGGCACGUAUACGUGUGAAGUCAGCAAUGGGGUCGGGCAGGCGCAGUCGUAUUCUAUACAGUUGAAUGUUGAAGCCGCACCGUUCUUCAUAGAAGAGCCGCAGUUCCAGAACCUCGCCGAAGGUGAAACGGCCACCAUACACUGUAAAGCUGGGGGUACACCGGAACCCCAGAUCACGUGGGUACAUAACGGCAAGCCGAUUGAACAAGCGGAACCGAACCCGAGACGACAGAUCACGGCCAACACGAUAGUUAUAGCCGACCUGGUGAAGAAGGACACGGGGAACUACGGGUGUAACGCGACCAAUUCGAACGGUUACGUCUACAAGGAUAUCUAUAUUAAUGUGCAGUCCAUACCCCCAGAAAUCAAGGAAGGACCGGAGAACUUGACCAAAGUGGACGGAUCGGAAGCUGUGCUCAAGUGCCGAGUGUUCGGUGCGCCCAAACCGAUCGUGAGGUGGAUGAGAGACGACGUCGAUGUUACGGGUGGCAAGUACAACAUAACGCCGGAAGGUGAUCUGGUGAUCCGUGACGUGUCGUACACAGACGUGGGCACGUACCAGUGUUACGCUAAGAAUAAGUUUGGAGAGAAAUCCGCUUUCGGUUCCUUGACUGUUAAGAAACGCACAGUAAUCACGGACAAGCCGGAACACUACGAGGUAUCAGCGGGCGCAGCGGCCACAUUCCGCUGUAACGCGAACGCCGACGAUUCCCUCCAACUCGAAAUUAUAUGGCUCAAUGAUGGUCAGCCCAUAGACUUCGAUAACCAGCCACGGUUCAGAAUGACGAAUGAUUAUUCGCUGCUCAUAUCGGAUACUACGGAAUUGGAUUCAGGGGAAUAUACGUGUAUAGCACGCACGGCGAUUGAUGAAGCGCGUGCGCAGGCUACUUUAACUGUACAAGACAAACCGAACCCCCCAGCACUCGAAGGUAUCGAAUGCCACGAGAAGGUAGCAACACUCCGCUGGCACUCGAUGGGAGAUAAUCGAGCACCGAUCCUGCGAUACAGCAUCCAAUACAACACAUCCUUCACACCGGAUACUUGGCUCGAAGCUACGGAUGCUGUACCGGCGAUAGAUACAGCUUGGACGCUGUCGUUGUCCCCCUGGGCUAAUUAUACCUUCAGAGUGGUAGCGUGGAACAAAGUGGGCGCGUCCACACCAUCAAAGCAUUCAGAUGUAUGUACCACACAACCUGACGUGCCCUACAAGAACCCGGACAAUGUGGAGGGCAAGGGACGGGAUCCGACUAACAUGGUCAUCUCGUGGUCGAAAAUGCCACAAAUCGAGCACAACGGGCCCGGCUUCUACUACCAAGUAUCGUGGCGACGCAACAUCAGCGGCGCGGCGUGGAGCGAGCAGCCCGUGCGCGACUGGGCCACCGACGAGCUGCUCGUGCCCAACACGCCCACCUUCCAGCCCUACAAGAUCAAGGUUAUCGCAGUGAACUCGAAAGGCACAUCGAACGUGGCGCCCGUGGAAGUGAUCGGUUGGUCCGGAGAGGAUACACCAUUACAAGCACCGGCCAACUUCUCUCUCGUGCAAGUCACUACUGGGAACACUGCUUUACUUAGCUGGAAUCCAGUCCCAGCUGAAUCUGUGAGAGGACACUUCAAAGGAUACAAGAUACAGACCUGGGUUGAUGGUGAUGAGGAUAGAUUGAAAGAAGUGCUCGUGAAAUCGGACGCUUCAAGCGCUCUGGUCUCAGUAUUUAAACCAUUCAAGAAGAAUAACGCCAGAAUCUUGGUUUACAACGGCAGGUUCAACGGCCCACCCAGUGAAACACUAUCUUUCGUGACUCCAGAAGGAAAACCCGGCACAGUGAAAUCUUUCGAAGUGUACCCCAUUGGUUCGUCAGCUAUGCUCUUGAAAUGGGAUAAACCAAUGGACGAAAACGGUGUACUUACCGGCUACAAGAUCUACUACCAGAAAGUUAGUGGCACAUCCCUAGGACCAAUACAGGAGAGGAAGAAAGAAAUCGAUCCGAAGUUCGACCGCGCCAAGCUAGCCGGGCUCGAACCGAACACGAAGUACCGUAUCGAAAUACGUGCUAAGACUAAAGCGGGUGAAGGUGACAAAUACUACGUGGAGCAAACAACCAAAGCGAUGGUAAACUCUGUGCCUGAUGUACCAGUGUUUGAAGCGAGUACCUUGCCAGCCAAAGAAGGAUCGGCUCAUAUACUUGUCCGCUGGUUGCCGUCUCUAGACGGUCAUGCUGGAACACACUUCAUCGCUUGGUACAGACUCAAAGGUCACCCAGAUUGGUUGAGCAGUAACGAAAUUACGGAAGAUGACUAUGUAGUGCUCACCGGCUUGGAGCCAGGUCAAGUGUACGAGGUUAAAGUGACAGCUCAUGAUGGGGAGUACUUCAGCACUAGCGAAGUUAUGGAGGUGGACACUACUACCGGUAAGUUAAACCCGGUGAUAAUGCGCGAGGAGGCGAUGGCGACGGCGGGCUGGUUCAUCGGCGUGAUGGUGGCGCUGGCGUUCCUGGUGCUGGUGCUGGUGGCGGUGUGCGUGGCGCGCCGCAACCGGGGCGGCAAGUACGACGUGCACGACCGCGAGCUGGCGCACGGCCGCACCGACUACCCGGACGCCAACUUCCACGAGUACACGCACCCAUUGGACAGUAAAUCCCGCCACUCGAUGAGCAGCGGCACCAAGCCGGGCCCUGAGAGCGACACUGACUCCAUGGCGGAGUAUGGCGAAGGCGAAACAGCCGGCAUGAACGAGGACGGUUCGUUCAUCGGGCAGUACGGGCGCAAGCGGCGGCCGCCCGCGGCCAGCCAGCAGGACUCGGCCUCGCAAGCCUUCGCCACGCUCGUGUAGCACCACCCUUAUCCACACCCCGUUCCAUUUUCGAACCUUUGCCUUGUAGUUUUCCAUCAAAAAAAAAAUGCAACUGUCAACUUCUCGUUUCAAAAAAACUGUCAACUUUUUGAACUACGCACUAUUGUUGUCUUUUUCGCGCAUAUCAAUGUGUCAAAUUGGGACUAGGGAAAAUUUAAUUUAGAAUUUUUGAUUAGAUAAUGCUCGAGUGCUAUUUUUAAAAUUUAUUGUUUAGAUCUUAGAUGCGAAAUUGAAAAUUAUUUUUAAAUCGUGCAAUGUAUGACGUAGUUCAAAGUUGAGAAUAAAUUUCAACCGUAUGGCGUAGUUUGCUAGUGCCAUGGCAUUACAUUAAAAAAUCACACUACGAAAAAGCGGCCACCGUUCUUAUUGGUCCGUUUUAAAUUUUUAAAAUCGCCCGCCGAAAUUCAAAAAUUUCCUUCAGAAAAUUGGUUGUGUUCGAAUCUCCUUGCAUUGGAAUGUAUCGAAUCGCGAAACACGGGCGUCCUGUCGUUGAACUAUUUCAAAAAUAGUUUUACUGACCACACGUAUCCUUGUUUUCGCGAAACAAUGCUAUUUAAGUUUAUGAUUAAGUACACAUUUAAAUAUAAUUAGGUUGUAAAAAAGAUAUUAUUAGUUGUAAUGAGUGUGUCGCAGUGAAUGUUUAUUAAUAUGAAAAUUUUAUUUUUUUUGUAGCACGAGCUUUGUGUUGAGUUUAUGGUUUGCAUUUAAUGUUAGAGUAGGAUAGAUAGAUAGACGUGUCCUGUUUCCGUCCUUGUCUCCCUUCCCCGUUGCCAACGCACGAGCUGCUAAUUCAUUUCUUUUUAUUUGUGUGAGGUCGUUUCACGGAGGACGGUUCGUUCAUCGGUCAGUACGUGCCGGGCGCGCGCGUGCUGCCCCCCCCACCCGCACCGCCCGCACCGCAGGCACACCCACCCACAUAUGUGUAGACAUACAUACUUACAUACAUACAGCCCCCCUUAUGUAUGGAAAGUGUGAGAUACGUGAUACUGUAUCCUGGUUUAGAUUUGAUGAUUUCAAGAUGCAAUCAAAAUAUAUGCGGGUAUGGUACCCGCAUAUACCCGCAUAUAGGAUAUAGGAUACGAUAGCGUAAGGAUUUGAAGGGUAGUUAUAACACGUUUGAAAUAUCACAAUAAUUUAUACUCCUUUACAUAAAAGUACCUGAGUCCCUCAAAUUACUAGCGUCAAGAAGACGUGUAUCAACAGUGAACACAAACAUACAGGUACUCAGAUAUAAGGGGGUCUAAACAACGUGGGGGUAUCGUUUGAUUUGCGGGUAGCUAUUUCUUGUGGCCUGUGCACACUUGGCUCACCGCCUUAAUUCUAAACAAAAUGUACGGCAGCUUCGUAAAAGGCCACAUGACAUUAUAAUUUAAAAUUUAUCAUUUAUAUUCAAAUUUUAUGACCUUAUUUUUAGUUAAAAUUUAUUAGUUCACGGGCCGGUAGAGUAAGAUUAUAAAUGAGCCUACUCGAAUUUUUAUUUUGGCCCGAAUUUGGUUUGGCUGCAAGAGUCGAAUUUAGUGAAACGCAUUGACAUAUAGAUUUGUUUUGUGAGACUGAUUUUAUGUAAUACGAUUAUGUAUAAUGUGACAGUCCGAUUUUGACGAUUUAGAAAAGUAGUUUUUUUUUUAUUUUGUAAGAUAUGGGGCAUCGGAAACAAGACAGAUGAUGUCGCUAUCUCUUUCUAUCAUAAAAUUUAUAAGUAAAGCCUAACAGUUACAUUGAAAUACUACAUAAGUACAAGUUGUACGAAAUUUUUAUGCUCAUUUUUUUUGCAAUCGCUUCAAGUCUAACGAAAGCUAAGCAAUUGUCUGCUUUGACUCCGAUGUUCUAUAAUCUAUAUCAAUGACAUUUAAUUAUUAUUAUUUAAACUUUCUCGUAAUUUUUCAUCUCAAUCAGUGAAGUGAAGGGGUUUAUUAUUGGAUUCGUAGGUUAAUAUCUGGCUCGAUAUCAAUUGAAUAAGAUAGGAUGUUAGGCAAGCAGAUAAAGGACUCGCCAGACAGCGAAACAAAAGCGUGGUACUGUGUGAAUAUCUACUUAAAUGCUGUUUUUUUAAUUCACUAACUCUACGCUUCGCCACGCCUUCGCUUCGCUAUCUGUCCGCGCCCUUAAGCUAUUUUUGUCACGGAAUUAAGAAUGUAAAUUUUUUAGCUCUGGUCGCCGGUGGUCAAAGUUCGCUUUAUUUCGUCAUUUUAAUGUAAUAAAAAAAGAAUAUGGCAGAUAAGUCAAUUUUUAAUAAAAAUCUUAUGAGAAAAUUCUAUUUAUCGGUCGAAAUUAUUUUUAUAUCGUAAUCAUAUCUAUACCAAAUAAUGGACCACGGAGUGUAUUUAUUUUGUAUGACCCUUUCAAAUAUUCUUCUAUAUUUCGGUAAGAAAAAGCUUGUUUCAAGACAUAUCUUUAUGUUAUACUUUCAUUUUUAUAAAUCGUAUUCGUAGCACGGUAUUUUAAUUCUCCCUUGUUGCGAUUACACACAUCGAUAUAUUUUUAUAAUAUAAAGUCUCAGUCAGACGAAACAUCGAAGCGUAUUCGACGAUUUAUAUAUUUUUAUAUCCACGCUCAAAUCACCAUAGGUCUUAAACACCAAUUUAAUAUACACCAAUGAAGAUUAAAUAAAUUAUACGAAAUAUUUACUGAUCGCUACGAGAAUAUUUAAUUGGCGAAUUAUUUUAAUAAAUGUAGAGUCGAUAGAGAUGACGAUAAACUGCGGCCAGUGAGACUCUAUGAGCGAUAAAGUGCUUUGACCGCCGGCCCUCUUUGGUGCUUUGCGGAAUGAUGGGAAGAGUGGCGAUCAUGUGAUUGUACUUUACAUGUAAGCAUAUGUACACGCAUAUGUCGGUCAAUUCGAAACGUGCGAGGGUUCGGAAGUCCCCAGAAAGUCGCCUUUCUGAACGAAAUUUGGGAAAAAUUCGAGAAAAAAACACUAUUAUGCUAUGGUAUCGCGUAGAAUCUCAGCAACGAUCGGACGCUCUCUACCCUAUAUUUUUAUGGAAGCGACCGCCGCGUUGUGACGUCACGGCGGAAAUUAUCUACUAGUGAUAUUAAGGCUUUUUGUAUUCACUAUUUAUUAUAAUAUUAUCUGACUUCGUGAAGUGUGCACCUCACAUAUUACCAGUUGACGAGUUGAUGUUUUCAAAUUUCUAGACGAGAUAAAGACGUAGCGUUGCCGGAUAAAUUUCAAGUUUUAAUCUCAGUAGCUUUACCGAUGUUCAAUAUUUCCUAUGAAUAAGGUUGUACGCUCAUACAAUUCCUACAAUUUUGCUGUUUCAAUUUUGGAAUUUUUCGUCAUUAUUACAUAGUGUAGUUAGGAUUGAAACGUGGCAAUCGUCUUUAUCUUGUACGAAACGAUUGUAAGUGUUAGAUAUAAGGCUAAGAGUUCGUGUUAACUAAUGUUAGGCAGCUAACGCGUCGCUUCGCAUCUCUUAUUUAUUAAUCGUAUACCUUUCAAUGUUAUAUAUUUAUUAAUUGUCACGUACCUAUUAUUUAUUAACGCCUGAAAGGUGUCGGGUCCUAUAAAACAUUCCACGCGGUUUAACCAUGUUGAUUUUACAUAUUUAUUUUUCAAUUAUCUGUGCGCGUCAGUCAGAUGUAAUCUGUAACGUUUUAAAAACUUAAAGACUGACGUAUAUACUGCCGAUACUCUGUGGCAUUCGCUGACGUCAUCGCUGCAUACACAGUCAGUGGAAAAAAUAAGUCUCUUAAUUGUAUUGCCCUUAUUGAGUAUUAUUUGCAAGCACCACUAUUGUUCUCUUUUAGAGCUUAUACAUAACCAUUUGUACCUUAUAUAUUGCAUUAUAUUUAAUGGCACUGUUAUCGUAACCCCUUUGAGUUGUUUGUUAAGGAGUCUUUAUCACGUCUAUUGUCUAGUAAGAAUUUAAUAUUAUAUAAUAGGGCUUGUACACAGAGGUGCUUUUCGCAACAACAUGGCGCCCGGUAUCGCACGAGCAAGCUACACUAGACUAAGAUGUUAAGAAAACGUAACACAACAUGACAUUUUGCUGCGAAAAGUAGCCGUGUGUACGAACCUUUAAUAUUUAAUUAAUAUUGUAGAUGAGCCUUGUUCGAAACGCGUUUUGUCGCUUUUUAUAAUCACAUGUUAGUUAUUAAAAGAUUCAUUCGAAUUUGUUAGCAUUCAAAAUGAAAAUUGUUAAUCACACGAUGAAAAUAAUUACGGUGAUAUUUUAUCACUGCCUUUCCCUUAAGAAGUUUAUUGUAUGUGUUCAUUUUAUAUUUUACCUAUCUAUAACCCGUUAGUCGACACUUGCCUUGUGAGAAUUGAUAAUUUAAGUUUAUAGAGUAUGUGUAUCUCCAUUAACAAUCUCACAUGAAUCUAAUGCACAAUUAUUGCAUUUAUCUCUGAAAGUCACAAGUCGUUAUUAUUCUGAUUCUCUUCGACUACGGUAUAUUAUAUUUAUUGAAGCAAGUGUAACAUGUAUAUUAUCUGUAGAUCUGACGUUUAAAAUGUAUGUAAUAGUUGAGAGGUUUUGAUGUCAUAGCUAAAAUACUGUUAAGUAAUCUAUAUUUAUUAUAAUCCAGUAGGCGGUUUGAUGUGCGGUAUAUUUGACCAGUAAAUGUAAAAAUGAACGCUCCUUUUCAUUAUCUAUGUAACGUAAUACAAGUCACAGAUACAAAAUUGUGUGAUAAAAAAAAUGGCGUUGUACACUGCCCUUUGCAAAUUAGAUCGCUUUUAUUUGAAUUGAAACAAAAAGAAGCGUUUAUUUAGUGAUUUGAAACAUAACCGACAUCAGGGGUGUCCUGUUUAUAAUAGUUUGCAUUUAUAUUAUAAUGUAACAUGACAAAUUGUUCUUGAAUAUGCAAGAUUUUGUUCACGAAUUAAAUUUAAUUUUAACAUUUUGUUUCGCAUUAAGUGACGGUAAUUUAUUGUAACUACGAUGGAUAUUUUUUUAUGUUGCAUAGAAAAUAAAUUUUAAGAAAUUA